rnacentral:tRNA from 1 species
GCCAGGUUAGCUCAAUGGCAUAGCAGCCGUUUUGUAAGCGGCAGGUUGUGGGUUCAACUCCCCCACCUGGCUCCA